rnacentral:tRNA from 1 species
GAGGGUAUGGCUCAAGUGGUAGAGUGCUUACCUAGCAUGCAUGAGGUCCUGGGUUCAAUCCCCAGUACCUCCU